GCAGUGAGCUGGAUGAGCAGGUGUCGGGGCCCCGGGCACAGGCGAGCAGAGCACCUGGGAUGCAUUCCUGCCGCACACGUGAGCCUGAAGGCAACUCGCCCUCCAGAGCCAACCUCCACCUGCAGGGAACACGGCCGUGAGAGGGCGAGUUCAAGGGCUGAACAUGGAGCCAGAGGACAAGCAGCCAGGUGGUGGGAGCAACCAUGCGUCCACAGAGACGAAGGUGGAACAUCACUCAGUCUCAGAAAGGGAGGGGACUCUGCCAGUGACUACAACAUGCACGAACAUGGAGACGUCACGCCGUGUGAACUGAGUCAGACACAGAAUGACACACACGCCAUCACCCAGAGGAGCAGUGCUCUCCCCAAGGCCUGAUGUCAGGAGCCCACCCUGGGCCGUCCUGCAAAAGCCCUGUGAAGAGGCCACCCUGGAGGCAGACGUGUCCAGCAUCUUCACCCCGGGCUGCACACGGACCAUUCCUUCCUCCUGGGGUGCGCCCCUUCCCCGAAAAACAAUCAUCACCUUCAACCAAUUUGGGAGCAGUUUUGAAGAACGUUUGAGGAGAACAUUUUCAACAUCUAUUUCCUCCAUGAAGCCCUAUGGAGGCCUCUAGAGUUGGUCCUACAUCUUGAAUCUUGAGGGAGCGCUGAGAGAGGAAAUACUGAAUUGGGAACAGGUGCAAGGGGCUGUGCCCAGGAAAGAGUUGAGUUUUGUGUUAAAACCUGAUUAGCAAACCCAUCGGAGAAGGCAAUGGCACCCCACUCCAGUACUCUUGCCUGGCAAAUCCCAUGGACGGAGGACCCUGGUAGGCUGCAGUCCAUGGGGUCGCGAAGAGUCGGACACGACUGAGCAACUUCACUUUCACUUUUCACUUUCAUGUAUUGGAGAAGGAAAUGGCAACCCACUCCAGUGUUCUUGCCUUGAGAAUCCCAGGGACGGUGGAGCCUGGUGGGCUGCCGUCCAUGGGGUCACACAGAGUCGGACACGACUGAAGUGACUCAGCAGCAGCAGCAGCAAACCCAUCCCUUUAUCCACUUUGAGAGCUUCUCCCAGGGACCCUGGCCAGAAGAAGGGAGGCCUUGCUUUCUAAAUGAGAUGAACACCUUAAAAGCUGUAAGUUAAACACCUUCUUAGGUUUCACAGCCUUUGAGAAAGACUUUUUCUUAGAAGAUUCCUGUUGUAAAUACUUUUGUUAAAUAAACAGUGUUCUUAAU
ensembl:lncRNA